rnacentral:rRNA from 1 species
UGGGGAAUAUUGCACAAUGGGCGCAAGCCUGAUGCAGCCAUGCCGCGUGUAUGAAGAAGGCCUUCGGGUUGUAAAGUACUUUCAGCGGGGAGGAAGGGAGUAAAGUUAAUACCUUUGCUCAUUGACGUUACCCGCAGAAGAAGCACCGGCUAACUCCGUGCCAGCAGCCGCGGUAAUACGGAGGGUGCAAGCGUUAAUCGGAAUUACUGGGCGUAAAGCGCACGCAGGCGGUUUGUUAAGUCAGAUGUGAAAUCCCCGGGCUCAACCUGGGAACUGAAGCUGAUACGGGCAAGCUUGAGUCUCGUAGAGGGGGGUAGAAUUCCAGGUGUAGCGGUGAAAUGCGUAGAGAUCUGGAGGAAUACCGGUGGCGAAGGCGGCCCCCUGGACGAAGACUGACGCUCAGGUGCGAAAGCGUGGGGAGCAAACAGG